rnacentral:rRNA from 1 species
CCCCAGGCGGGGUACUUAUUGCGUUAACUCCGGCACAGAAGGGGUCGAUACCUCCUACACCUAGUACCCAUCGUUUACGGCCAGGACUACCGGGGUAUCUAAUCCCGUUCGCUCCCCUGGCUUUCGCGCCUCAGCGUCAGUUUUCGUCCAGAAAGUCGCCUUCGCCACUGGUGUUCUUCCUAAUAUCUACGCAUUUCACCGCUACACUAGGAAUUCCACUUCCCUCUCCGAUACUCUAGAUUGGCAGUUUCCAUCCCAUCACGGGGUUAAGCCCUGAGCUUUUAAGACAGACUGACCAAUCCGCCUGCGCGCGCUUUACGCCCAAUAAUUCCGGACAACGCUUGCCACCUACGUAUUACCGCGGCUGCUGGCACGUAGUUAGCCGUGGCUUUCUAUUCCGGUACCGUCAAAUCCUCGCACUAUUCGCACAAGAACCAUUCGUCCCGAUUAACAGAGCUUUACAACCCGAAGGCCGUCAUCACUCACGCGGCGUUGCUCCGUCAGACUUUCGUCCAUUGCGGAAGAUUCCCCACUGCUGCCUCCCGUAGGAGUCUGGG